rnacentral:rRNA from 1 species
CGAAAGCCUGACGCAGCGACGCCGCGUGCGGGAAGACGGCCUUCGGGUUGUAAACCGCUUUCAGGAGGGACGAAGCCACUCGGGUGAAUAGCCCAGAGGGUGACGGUACCUCCAGAAGAAGCCCCCGGCUAACUACGUGCCAGCAGCCGCGGUAAUACGUAGGGGGCAAGCGUUGUCCGGAUUUAUUGGGCGUAAAGAGCGUGUAGGCGGUUAGAUAGGUCGGUUGUGAAAACUGGAGGCUCAACUUCCAGACGUCGACCGAAACCAUCUGGCUAGAGUCCGGAAGAGGAGAGUGGAAUUCCUGGUGUAGCGGUGGAAUGCGCAGAUAUCAGGAAGAACACCCGUGGCGAAGGCGGCUCUCUGGGACGGUACUGACGCUGAGACGCGAAAGCGUGGGGAGCGAACAGGAUUAGAUACCCUGGUAGUCCACGCCGUAAACGAUGGGUGCUAGGUGUGGGGGGUGUCGACUCCCCCCGUGCCGCAGCUAACGCAUUAAGCACCCCGCCUGGGGAGUACGGCCGCAAGGCUA